UGUCAAUAGUAGUAGUAGUGUGUGCGUGUGUGUGUGUGUGUGUGUGUGUGUAUGCCGGUUCAUGGACGUUGCAACUCGCUUCGGCCUCACCAUCAACCUAUCAAAAACCAAAGUAAUGGCGGUCGGCUUCGGCAUUUCUCCGGAGGAUCGUCGUCCAUUGGUGGUUGGCGGGGAAAUCGUCGAGAAUGUGCAUGACUUUCGCUACCUAGGCUCCAUCAUCCAUACUGGUGGCCGCACCGCAGUGGACACUCGGUCCCGAAUAGCGUCAGCAUCUAGGGCAUUCGGAGCAUUGCGUCGAUCUGUCUUUGAUGAUGGCGAUCUUUCACUGGCAACGAAGCGAAUGGUGUAUGAUGCAUGUGUGGCUUCUCUUCUCCUUUACGGAGCGGAGUGUUGGGUACCACUGAAAAGCGAGCUUGCGGCGCUGUCCGCCUUCCAUCUUCGCUGCAUUUCCGCAAUCUUAGCCCUCGGUAGAAGAGACACCUGGGACUUCCACAUCAACAGGAAGACCAUUCUGGAGGCCUGGAAUCGUCGAGAUCCAGUGGAUAUUACCACACGUGUUCUUCGCCGCCGUCUGGAGUGGCUAGGCCAUCUAGCUAGGAUGGACGGCGAUAGAACUCCGCACCAGCUCCUGUUUGGUGCGCUCCUUCCGCCGAGGCCGGCUUGCGGUCCUCGGAAACGGUGGCGAGACUCUGUCAGAGCUGACCUCUCCGCAGUGAACAUCGACCACACGGAAUGGUACGACCUCGCCCAGGAGCGUGGGAAAUGGCGCAGUGCGUAUUCCGCUCAACCAGUACCGCGAUCGGCUCAGCGUGACACUUCUGUGCUCUGCGAUGUCUGCCAGCGUACUUUCGCCCACCAGAAAUACAAGAAUCGCCACAAGUGCCUGGCCGAGAGGAGGAAGCCCAUAUCUGAGCAGUCCGGCAGCCGACUAUGUAAUGCGUGCGGGAGAUGGUUCUUGAGUGCUGGCGGGCUAGCUUCGCAUAAGUGUCUCUCCAACUCGGCUGCUGAAGUGGCGUCGGUCUCGGCUGUGGCAUCGGCAGACUCGGUCCGGAAACGGCGGGUUGCCCUGCCCUGCUGCAGAGCGCAUUGUCUCGGCUGCGGUCGCUGCUGCAGGUCAUCCCGUGGUUUCGACCUGCAUAGCUGUGCUAAUUUCCUGUCCAGGAAGUAGAGCGGCGUUUCUGGAUCCAAUGCUGAACUCAGUGCUGUCGACCCCUGCACAGGGGACACGUGACCAUUUAAUGGCAGUGUUACCAAGGACCAAGCGAAUCGUGCGCAGCAAUGUAGCACCGAUGAGUUUGAGUGCUGGAUUUGCUAUGAUGUGGAAAGUCGCGAGUCCGGACCGUUGAUCUACCCGUGUG